rfam:Picoides pubescens contig126477, whole genome shotgun sequence.
UCAACUGCCUUUUUCAAGGCAACACCACUUAUCAUUGAGGUGUCCU